ensembl:lncRNA
GUUUUUGUGGGUACGGCCUACCUACUAGUUCCUCUGUUAACCGCCACUUAGCGACAUUAGUUGGCUGAAAAACCUAGUUUAGUGUCAGCUGAAGGUGAAGGUAGAAUUCCUGUGUGUCAGUGGAGCAGCACAGUGUCAGCUGUUUACAGACUCAUUGAAGUUCAUCAUCAGAGUGAAAAUUGGUUUAGUGUAUAUCACUUACGCCUGGAGUAAAGGACAACACUUUGUGGUUGAAGAUCUUGUCUUGAUGUGGAUGACAUGCCAGUUUGGACAACAUAAGAUCUGUCUAAUGAGGAUUUGGAUGAUGCUAACACUUAAUGAAAUCUAGGAAUGUACAUUUUAUUUUAUUUUACAUAUGCUUUUCUGGAGUUAGUUUUGCAGUUGUUGGAAAGUUGGCAUUUUGCAUUUGUAGUCUGAUACCUGUUACUGAGAACAGUGGUUUGUAUGUGUUGAUUCCAGACUAUACAUUUCAGCACCUACAGCCAGUAAGUGGAUCUUUUUGACACUACAACUUAAUCACAAGUUAAUGUCAAAAAGGGUGAGCAACAAUGAUUAGAAUUUUCCUAUAUAGCAAUCUACUGUGUAGUCUAAUAAAAGAGCUCUAAGUGGGUUAAAUGCAAUUGUUUGUGUUAUUUUGAAUGCAGUAUUUGCAACAUACUGCUGUUGUACUGCAUAACAUUUUUAUUUGAAUGCACUAGAAAUAAUAACAGAAACACCAAUAUGUCCUAAAAGUGUUGUAUUUGGUUCAAAAUAAAACCUCAACUGGAAUUGUGCAUGAAAUGGCCUAGCCCAAACAGUAUCUUUGACCUUUUUCUGAAAAUGUUAGCUGUAUAAAAAAGUGUAUAUGAAGUAAAUAAUAAAUAAUAGUAAAUAAUGUUGCCACUUUGUGUCUUGCCAACAUACAAUCCAGGUAAUAUGUGACUAAAAUAUUCUUGUUAAUAACUUUAACUCUAGUCAAUGUACUUGUAUGUUUUCUGAGGACCCCUGGAAGAUUAAUUGCUUGUGCAGUAGCUAUGGAUUAUACCUAAUGAACCAAACCUUGUCAAAA